UCCUCCAGCUGCCUCCUUUCCUAAAAAUGCUGACUCCCUCGAAAAAAACCCUAGCCGCCACAACUCCCUCCUCUGGUUUUUCCCACAGCUCCUCUCCUCUCUUCUUCCUCGGGAUUCCAGGAUCCAAAAAAAAAAAACAACAACGCCCACAGCUCCCUCAACUCACGGCCAUCCCCAGCCCGACAACCGGCACCAUCGUCUCCCCUUCACCACCUCCCUUACUACUUUUAUUUGCCGCUGUGCUUCGUUACAUUGCCGCCCAAACUGCCCAUUCGCCAUCGAGUUGAUGAUCACCUCCAAAGCUAAGUCUCCUCCAUCUCUACGUCAGUCUCCAUAUCUCUUAACUAAUUUUUCUGCUCUAACACAUUUUUUCUUUUUUUCUUUUUUUGCUGGCCUUUGUCCUUUCUCGCGCUAUCCUUUCUCCUCGCGGACAUCAAAGUUGGCCAAGCAAGACGAGAGGAAGAAGUCCUGCGGCCGCGACUACAAACGGAUGCAUUAAAAUCAGAGCCGGUGAGCACCGAAUUGCACUUGUGCUCAAUUAAAUCUCUAGCCUAGGUUGCUUUGCUUCUUCGAUCUGAUUCGUUGACUAGGAUGAUGAUUAGAUAAGCCUAUUCGUUUAUUUGUGUUGCGGAUUGGUUUAUGGAAAUAUUAAUUUGAAGGCUUUGCAGCAAAAAUAAAAAAAAUUGACACCUUUCUCUUAUUGGAGUUGUCAUCCUGUGUGCCUUUGUUUCCUCGUGUUUCAAUCAUGAACCAAAUUCUCUAUUUGGGUGAACUGAUAUGAUAGUGAUGGCAACCUGAUAAAUUUUUUUUUUCAAUUCGAUUGGACGUGAUGUAUACCUUUGUUGUUAUUCGAUUUGCACAUGUCUUCGUUCCGCAAUCUAAACGUGGGGCUAAUCUCGAACUCAUUGAGCAUGCAACACGUUGAGCGUAUGAUGACUACGAAGUGAACUUGUUCUCAGUUUCUUGGAGUCAGGAUGUUUUGCUUCUUCAUUCUAGACUAAGAGGAUUAAAUUAAUCAUGCCUCUCUUAUUAUUUUUGGUAAAUUGAUUUAUUUUAUAAAAAAAUUUGUUAUUGCAUCGGACAUAACAUAAUUUCAAUCCAUAUAUAUAUAUAUAUACACAUUUUGCAGAAAAAGAAAAAUGAUAAUUUCUGCGUGUGUCAAGCAUCAUUGCCUCUUGCAUUUAAUUCGCACAUGUUAUGAAUAUAUAAUAGAUCAUAUUGGAUAACUUGUUUGGGUUUUGGGAUUGUUUCGAAUUUCAUGUUUCAUCAUCGCCUAUUGUUUUCUCUGAUGUUUGCUUGUCUCAUGUUGGCUCGAGUCCUUCGGAGUUGUAUUUCCUCUUUUUCUCUUCCUCGUUCUCUUCUUGUUUUCUUGCAUGUCUCACGAGAGGAGAAGAAAGGUGGCGAGACAAGAAGAUAUAAGGCUAAUAUCGGUGGGGCUCGAAGAUGACGGGGAGAUUUACCUAGGCUUAGGUUGAGUCUGGAUUUGAAGGCCACCUAGGUCCGUGGUUGUCGUGGGAUCUUCCGAGCUAAUCGAUCCCAGGAAUCUCCUAGCAUAAGGAGCUCCAUGCCAUCCUCCAACCCGGCUUCGACGAACAGUCCAUCGAGUCGGCCUGCAUGCUACUUGUCUUUUCUGUUUCAAGAGCGAUGUACCUUGUAAUUUGUACUAAGCCGUGGGCAUUUACUUUCUUCGCACACAUGCAUCAUCUGUUUUACAAAAUUAGGGUGUCAUUCAUAUGGACGAA